AUGAGCAAAUCGGUCUCAUCAGGCAGUACAUCGUCAGGCAGUAGACAGUCGAAAUCUGUGUCAGCUGCAAAUGAUCUCUACAGCAAGGCCAAUGCAUUGUCAGGCAGUGCAAAGUCGAAAUCUGUGUCAGCUGCAAAUGAUCUCUCUAGCAAGGCCAAUGCAUCGUCAGGCAGUGCAAAUUUAAAAUCAGUGUCAGCUAUAGAUGAUUUCCCUAGCAAGGCCAAUGCAUCAUCAGGCAGGACACAUUCAAAUGAUCACUCUAGCAAGGCCAAUGCAUCGUCAGGCAGUACACAUUCAAAUUCUGUGCAGACUAAGAAGAUCCAGGAGAAGACUAAGAAGAAGGUGGUACCGCUCCCAGUGAAGAAGAAGCCACAGAAGUAA
rnacentral:rRNA from 1 species